AUGUUUAUCCCCAUGUUUACCACCAUGUUACCCACUGAUUAUCUGUUUUUUUACCCGCUCAUGGUUGGCAGGGUAUAUAUUAAAGGACUUGAUACUCUGGUCACUUGGUACUCCUUUUGUGAAAAGUACGCAUGUAUGGUACGUACAUAUUAUGUUUCUCUCGACUAUUUUGCUCCUCCGCUCCUCCCAGUUGCUUGGAGCUAUUGUGUUUGUUGUUUGUAUUUUGUGUUUUUUUCUUUCGGGACCGAAUAGUAUUUAUUUUUGAUUUAUGUUUUGUGUUUAGAUUUAGAGCACGUUAGUUUUAUUUUUUUAAAACGUUGUUUGUUGUUUUUUGACCGACACUUUUAGAGAGGUAUACAUAUGUAUGUUUGGUAUUAUUUGUUUUUAUAUUUUGUUUAAUUAUAUAUUUGAAAGUAUUUAUGUAUAUGUUAUUUUUAUACUCUUAACAGGGUAUAUUAAGUUUGUCACGAAGUUUGUAACACCCAGAAGGAAGCGUCGGGGACCCUAUAAAGUAUAUAUAUAAAUGAUCAGUAUGUUGAGCUCAGUCGAUUUAGCCAUGUCCAUCUAUCUCUAUAUAUACGAACUAGUCCCUCCGUUUCUAAGAUAUCGUUUUGAAACUUUGCAAACGUCAUUUUCUCUUCAAGAAGCUGUUCAUUUGUCGGAACUGUCGAUGUCGGACCACUAUAACAUAUAGCUACCAUACAAACUGAACGAUCGGAAUCAAGUUCUUGUAUGGAAAACUUUCACAUUUGACAAUGUAUCUUCACAAAAGUUGGCACAGGUUAUUUUCUAAGAUAAUAAUGUAAUAAGCGAGGAAAUUGUUAAGAUCGGAUUACUAUAGCAUAUAGCUGCUAUACAAACUGAACGAUCGGAAUCUAGUGAUGGUAUUUGCGUUUGACAAGAUAUAUUCAUGAAAUUUGGUACAUAUUAUUUUCUAAGGCAAAAAUGUAAUCUCCGAAGAAAUUGUAGCUGCCAUAGAAACUAAAUGAUCGGAAUCAAAUGCAUGCUUGCAUGGGAAACUUAUUCAUUUGACGUUAUAUCUUCACGAAAAUUGGUAUGAGUUAUUGUUCAUAGAAAUAAUUUAGUAUCGGAAGAAAUUGCUCAGAUCGGCUCACUAUAGCAUAUAGCUGCUAUACAAACCGAAUGAUCGGAAUCAAGGGCUUGUAUGCUAAUCUUUCGCAUUUUACGUGAUAUCUUCCCGAAAUUUGACAUGGAUUACUGGUUAAGGUAAGAACAUAAUCUCCGAGAAAAAUUGUUCAGAUCGGAUUACUAUAGCAUAUAGCUUCCACACAAACUGGACACAUAGUUACUAAAAGAAAUGCACCUGGGAAGGGUUUAUUAGCUUCGGUGCAGCCGAAGUUAACCUUUUUUCUUGUUUUUUCUUGUGUCACUGCACUGUACUGAAAUGUAGUUUCAUAUGUACAUAUCGCUCAUUUGCUGCAAGACCGGCAUAAUUCAAAAAACGUGGUUUUGGAGUUAAUGCUGCAGAAUUGUUCGUUAUAUCAUACUUCAUGUUGAGUGAAAAAUUCAUAUGAAUACCUCUUAUAUGCUCCGCUUGAGAAGAGGUGUAAGGUUGGAGUCACCGUGUAAGGUUGUAGUAAGUUGAAAACUUUAAACGCGUUUUCUGGCGAAUCGAUUUUUUUGACUUAUGCCGGUCUUGCAGCAAAUGAGCGAUAUGUCCUAGUCUAUGUUGUAUUUCUUUAUAUUAGGGCAGCCAGUGUUCAGUUAAGGUGAAAGUUAAAAUUAAUUAAUUUUAAAUGCAGUGAAAAAAUGGCUCGUACAAAACAAACAGCCCGUAAAUCGACUGGUGGUAAAGUACCACGCAAAUAAAUGGCAAGCAAAGCAGCUCGUAAAAGUGCUCCGACAACUGAUGGCGUUAAUACUAUGUUCGGACCGACAACGAAAACAUGUUUUCGUGGGAAAAACUGGUUUUCGCACGAAAACUUAUGUUUUCGUCCAUGUAAAAUCUGUCAAACGAAAACACGGUUUUCGCUGAAAACUACUUGAAAACUUACAUUCCACUCAUUAUAAUUGGUGUCUGCUCUAGUUUAAUCGAUUUUUUUGGAAGACAUAUUUUGCCGGCCCUAAUUUGUCACUUGAUAUUUGUUUACAUUCCAUAUACAGUUGUCAGUUUGUAUUUGAUAUUAAUAUUAAAAAAUGGAAAAACAAAAAUUUCUAUUUGUGCUGGAACAUUUAUGUGCUGGAAUGAAACAUCUACGUGACAAUAAUUUAGUACAUCGCGAUUUAAAACCGGGAAAUAUAAUAAAAUUUAUUUCGGAGAUGGUCAAACCAUAUAUAAUACAAGCUAACUGAUUUCGGUGCCGCCCGGGAAUUGGAUGAUAACAAAGCGUUUGUUUCACUUUAUGGAGCAGAGGAGUAUUUACAUCUCGAUAUGUAUGAACGUGCUGUGCUACGUAAACAAAUAAAUCAUUCAUUUACUGCAAAUGUGGACUUAUGGUUCAUUGAUGUCACUCUUUACCAUGUAGCAACUGGAAAUUUACCAUUCCGUCCUUUUGGUGGCCGUAAAAACCGCAAAAUACAAUGCAUCAAAUAACCACAAAAAAGGCGUCUGGCGUAAUUUCGGGUACUCAACUAUCCGAAAAUGGACCAAUCGAAUGGUGGACUACGCUGCCAUCAUAUUGCAAUUUGUCAGAAGAUCUAAAAACAUUGGUGACACCGCUCUUGACUGGUUUGUUAAAAAAAUAUCUAGAGAAAACCUGGUGUUUGAUCGUUUCUCCAAGAAGUAACAUUAAUUUUGCGUAAAUUCGUUUUGCAUGUCUUUUUCACAAAUCGCACCACUUCUGUGGAAGUUUACCUCGAACCAGUCGUACAAAUUGAUAAAUUUCGUGAACGCAUAUUACUACAGCCGGAGUACCAAUAGAAAAGCAGAUAUUAUUAUUCAAUAAUGAGCCUUUGGAAAGUGACGUCCUCUUCCAUAUCUUUUCCUAAAACCACAGCAGAAAAUCCAAUAUUCCUAUAUAGUAAUGAUGACAAUAAUGUAACGUAACGUGUCGGUUGAAAAUUAUGCCAGUCUUGCUAAGGCCGCUUGUAGCGUUGGACAUGAAUGCAAGAGACACCUUUACAUUUAUGGGUAUUUUAAUAAAGCGUUCUGAAGAACAAGAAGACAGCAGUCGGGUCAACUGGCUGUUCUCCCUAAAUUAUU